UAAAGGAAAAACUAUUGCCCAGGUACAAAAUUUUUCUACAUCUUUAUGUAUUUGUAUAUUUAUUCUUUUUAGAGGAGCAAAUUGAUUUUCUAAGGUUUAUGGAAAGUAUUUGGAGAUUUCAAGGAUUAAUGAGUUAGAAAAUAAAAUUUUCAAAAACUCUUACUUUAAAAAUUAACAUAAUGAAUUAAACACUAGUUUAUAACUUUUGAAUCUUUCAAAACUUUGCAUUAUUUUAUAAAAUCUAUUUAUAAAAACAGUGUAGUAAGUUUGCAAGUAGUUAAAGCCCAAUCCACGAAGGGAAAGAACAAAGGGCAAAAUCCACCAACAUAAUUAAAGGCCGAAAAGAUUGUUAUGGGCUUCUCUUUACCAGAUCGUAUUGGCAAUUGGAAAACAGAAGCAAACCAUCUAAUGUUGUAGUAGCUAAUUGAAUGUGAAG
rnacentral:misc_RNA from 1 species